rnacentral:lncRNA from 1 species
UAAUGUCAAGCUCGAACUAACGAACACCAGAAUUUCAUCGGCACCGUGCCAGAGCGGCAGAUUUGACUCAGGAUUUUUCAACGUGUUUUAACUCAAAUGGACGCAUUCUUCAGUAAGUUCGACUUCAUGGCAAGAAAGGUCUGCUGUAGACUCUGUUUUCAUCAAGCUGCUUCGUGGAUUGCAUGAAAAGAUUUUGUGACCCAGCUCUCCCCUGGCAGCUGAAACCAGCAUAAUGUCGUCCUCAAGAAAACCAUGGAUGUCAGCACAGCACGCGACACGUACCCGGUGAACUCCAAGCUAGACUGGAUCUGAUGAGCUACCAAUAGUUCCUGUCACAGGAUAUCAGAGAACCCUCAGCAUUCACCGCGCCUGUUUCCUGUAAUCCAACCAGUCUGAGACGAACUGGAUUUCUCUCUUGCCCGGAUGUUGUGGGAUGCCACUCAGCGACACUGACAUCACUUCUAAGAUGCUCUCCUGAAUAUGUUGGAUCUGCAUUGACUGUGUGAGAUUCGUGAGCUACACAACCAUCGUUGAGCAGGACUUGCAACAGAACAAUUGGACUUCCUUCAAAACAAUUCCCCGGAGAUCUUCACUUUCAAGCUCAGUGUGCCACAAGAUGUUUUAACUUAUCGCUAGUCGUCAAAAACUGCCUAGAGAGUUGUGUUUUCUCAAUUGGAACAAUUAAGCGACUCGAAGGAUAAUCUGUACUUGAGCUAUGCGCUUGCACGAGUCUCACCAAACAUUUGGAGACCUGCAAUAACACAUGCACUAGACGGCAUGAGGUUACCGUCGGACCCGUCUCGAGAUCGUAUCUCGGCUCUGAACUGACUGCUAGAGGAGUUCAUGAUAAGCUGGCCUCUGCCAGCCGCAAAAACACUGGAUGAUUCAUAUUGAGUGUUGCUGUCUGCCAGAGAGUUAUGACUGAGGAACUCUUUUGAAAUAAAACUCUCUUGAAAUGGAACUCUUUCGAAAUGGAACUCUUUUGAAAUUUACCCCUGUUGAAAUGGAACACUCUUGAAACUGAACUCUUUGAAACAGAACUUUGUUGAAACGGAUCUCGUGGGAAACAGAACUCUUUUGAACCAGAACUCUUUUGAGAUGGAACUCUUUUUAAAUUGAACUCUUUGAAACGGAACUCUGUUAAAACGGAACUCUUUUGAAACAGAUCUUGUUGGAAACAGAACUCUUUGGAACCUGAACUAUUUUAAGAUGGAACUCUGUUGAAACAGAACCCUUUUGAACCGGAAUUCUUUUGAACCGGAACUCUUAUGAACCGGAACUCUUUUGAGAUGGACCUCUUUUGAAAUUGAACUCUUUGAAAUGGAACCUUCUUGAAAUGGAACUCUUUGAAAGGAUAAUGUAUACUAAAGAAGUAGAGGUCUCUCUUUCCUUGUCACUAAAGGUCAUCAGAGGUCACCUCUUUGAACCCAUAUGUGUAGAAAAGGUUGCCUUGGCCGACCACAAUUUGACAGACAUCUAGAAUCUUGAAAGGCAGUUGCCAUAAUCUUCACUCACAGUGUUUGAUGAUGGAAAAGUGAUGUAGUCAUCACCUAGUGAUAAAGUUUGGGACGAGAACUGCAAAGUUUUCUAUAUCAAGAAAAUUGUCCAGAAACCUUCAAAACAUGCUAUCUUACUAUGUUGACCCACAAUUGAUGGCAGUAGUAGUUGAGAUCAAACCAAACCAUAAAUCGUGAAUAUGGAAGAGAGGCCUCUACACACCACACCACAGUGACCACACGUACAUGUAACCAGCUUCUCUCUGCAAACUCAAAGCAUAUUUCAUAGAAUUGAUUCGUCUUUGAUUUUUAUUCAGUGCAUCCACUAAUUUUCUUGUAUCAAAGUAUCACAAAAAAACUUUCAACAAGCAGUGAAAAUGAGGAAAGAUGUAGCGCUGCAUUUUAUAGUUCUUAUUUCCCGCUCUGCCAGUUGCAAAAAACCCUGAAAUUUAGCCAAAUUCACUAAAUAUUCACUAAAGCUGAGGGCUGCGCAAGUAUUGAAGAAAAAAAUUCUCUCAGAAAAAUCUUGAUGAUGCAACUUCCUUUGGCAUAUAUAUAGAGAGAGCUGGUUACAUCAAAUUAAUUGAUAAUUGAAUCUGAAAUAUUUUUUUAUGGCAUUGCCUGAUUGGUAAUAGUUGGGUGCAAGAUUGGUUUUCCUAGAACAAAAUUCUUUAAACUUUGUGUCGACACACAACGCUAAUGCACUUAUUUGAACGUCAUUGCCAAUUUUAAUCAUUGCUUGGUUCAGUUUAAAUUCAAUAUAAUUGGAGAUGUCCAAAAAUCCAAAUUUCUUACUCAAGCACUCAUGCAGGAAAACCCAGAUAUUCGUGUAAAUGCGCAAUUUUGCAAACAGCUUUCAUAAUUAGCCAUUCAACUUUUUGUUUAUACUUUCAAAAUUUCUUUCAACUCUUCAGAAAUGGCUUUUCAAAAAUUUUAGAUGCACUUUCCAGUUCAUCAUAACUUAGCUGCGUACUGUCAACAGCCAUACCAAUCUUGUACCCAGCUUUUGUUUUAUCAAGUAUAGUCAGCACUGGUCCACUGUUAAACAGACAAAAUUUGUCUGUGAAUGAAAAAAGUGAUUGCAUGUUGGUUUUAGUUCCACUUGUUCGAAAAAAAUAGCCAAACCCAAAAUAUUCCAUUUCAAGUGAAAACACUGCUAAAAAUGCCUUCAAAAUUUGUUCUUAUUCGACAGUUUACCAGGUGUUUUUGUGGACACACCUUUGUUUAAUUACCUCCAGAAAUGUAGUCUUUCUUGUCCAUUGGUCAAGCGAUGUUUUUCUAAAAUCCCAUUUGAAAAAGAAAAGUAGACAGUAUUAAACUGUUGAUUACUUACAAACACCAAUUACCAAUAUUUUUUAGCGCAAAAAGGAACAAAAGAAUUGAUGGUCCGGUGCUGGCUGUACGUGUUCAUUGGGAAAAAAUGAUGAUUAAUUUGUUGAGUAACCCGUAUAUAUACUUGACAUUUAACCAACAGGCAAUGUUCUGAUAUACCCGAGCCCAACGCAUGCAAGUCCCCCCGGGGCGUGCACGUGUGGUGUUCCCCGCCCGCAGAUGCCGGCUUGUCUGGUGGGUCGUCCCUAUCUGCAUUGACGAUUGGUCUCUUGUUCAAGGUGUGUGCUAGCUUCCUGAUCUUGUGGUCUGGAUAAUCGUGGAUGACUUGGUCGACUUCAACAUGGUAAGGAUCCUUUUGAACUUUGACAAUUAGUUUGCCUUUCUGCAAAGGAGAUGUCUUUUUGGCCGUUUAUUACCGAGUGUUGCUGUGGAAAUUAUGUACCAUCUAUCAAUCUGGAGAUUGCAAAUCUAGAGAUCAAUCGAGCAUCUACUUUUGAUGUCCUGCUUGCAUUUCAAUAGUUCCAUGGCAUCAUGUUGAUCCAAAUGAUCUGCUAACAAAUGGAUACUGUUGUUGGCAUAUCUGAUGUUCUUCAAUGUGGUAGGAUUUUCGGACAGGUGUUUCAGCCGCUAUUUAUGUGAAUAACUUCCAUGGUAUAACUCUGAAAUCUCAUUGCCUUUUAUUGUGUCAUCAUGUUCAAUCAGUUCCCUCAUAGAGUGUGUUCAAAUCUUAGACAUGCACGGAUAAACAUUAUAAGGAAAUAAUUUCCAAGGGAAAACAAUUAAACCGAACUGAAUCAAACGUCAAAUCUGCUUCUAAAUUCAGCAUCUGAUGUAUCACUUAAAAAACUUAAGUUUGCAAAUAAUAUUUGUGUUUUUGGCAGCACAUUCUUAACAUAAACCUGAAAGUAUUGACCAAAUUUUUGGCUAAAUUUCAAAAGUCACAUUUUUAACUUGAUAAACCAAAAUUUACUGACAUAACUAUUUUAUUAAAUUUCAAAAAGGCAGCUUCCCUGCCUCAGAUAAUCUCUGUAUAAAGUCAGUCAAAAUUCUAAAUUCUGGUUUACAUCAUAAAAAAAGUAAGUCCCGAUUUCAAAGCAACUCUAUUAAAUAUUGUUAAAAAUCCAAAUGUAAACAAUAAGGAAAAAGAACUCAAUGAAUGGGCCAGUGCGAUCAUUUUUAUAAUCGGAAAAGCUGUUGAAAAAAAAUAACAUGGAAAUAGAAAGUUUUAGGAAAGAAGAAAAAGGAGAGAAGGCCAAACUCUUCAAAUUGUAGGGGAGAAGUCCUGGUGUGCAGAGGGGGAGAACCAUGCUGCUUCCUGGCCAGAUGGAAGAUGUGGUGGACAAAAAGGCCCCCUGCAUCCUAACAAAUAGAAGCUGUGGUGUCAGACACAGGGAGCCAGUCCUGCCAGAUGGAUCCAUGGUAAGUUUAAUUGAAGUUUGUUGAAUGAAUUCAUGCACUGUGUACAUCCUCAUUGCUUGCUAAACCCAACGGUAAAAUGUGUAUCUCAUGGCUAGGAGUAAACGCUAUCUGUCUGCAUUACAGGAAAACAGUAUUGUGCAUUAUAGUCUUCAGUCUGUGGCAAUACCAAUUAGCUCAAAGGACCAAAAAGAAAAACAAAUAUCAGCGAUUUGGCAAUUUUUAUCAAAAUCGAAAUGAAAGGCAUUGACACGACAGUUGUACUAGGAACUGGUCAAACGAUCCCCAUUCAAUUUUGAUAUUGCUGAAGAGAUGUCAAUAAUCUUCUUAUGAGUGUCCAUUGAGUCCUACAAUCAUACAGAGAUGCAACCAGUGUAUUGGUGUGCAAAUAUCUCACUCAAUCUCGGCAAUCUUUCGGGACUCGACACUCACUGCAAGCACUUAAAGUGCUGCUGCCAAAGUCAUGGUCAAAUGUUGUGACCUCUGCAUUCCAAUCCUAUGAUUGGAUGAAACCUUGGGCUUCAGCAAUCACUGCAGCCUCCCAUAGAUUCAUCACCCACCUGAUAGGUGGUUGCAUGGGGGAAUCCCCUACCAGGGCUGUCUAAAAUGACCUUAAGCAAGAUGAUGUGGUGUGUUUGUUAGUCUGUGCACAGUGAAGCCCCAUCAAACUGUGCCCCUUAGCAAUUUGAAACUAAAGCCUUGAAAAUCUAGGCAUGAAGCAAAAGCAAUACCAUCUCCUAAUUGAAACACAAAGUUAGUCAUUGAUCAAGUUUCUUUCAUGAAAUAAACUAAGUUUUUUAUGCGUGUGGCUCUUCACCUCAGUUUCUGGAACCGAGAAUAUCUGCCUCAGUAAUGUGUAUUACUGAGAGUGAUUCGUUUUCAUUUGAAAUUUGAACAUGAUGUUCAAAAAGCUACAACUGUCAUUGCCAUGUAUCAACCAAUAGAUAAUCCUGCUUCACUUCUGUGGGUGAAUCAUACUUUUUAAAACUUAAAAAGUAAAUAUGAAUGUCUUAAAAGAGUCCUGAAGGAUCUUCACCAUAACAUUUAGUAAUCAAAAUCAUCGAAAUUUUCAAUCCGAUACUUGUAAAGAUGGGAACUCACAAUGCAAUUGAAAGUAAAAAAUUCCUUUGGUCUUAUGACCAGUUCUUACAUACUCAAGAAACUGAGCAUCAGUGUUCAUGUACGUAUAAUACGUGUAUGGCUUCAGAGAGCUGUUGCAAAGAAAACAAAUCGUCAAAACAAUCAGAUUUAUUGAACAUUUGAAAUAUCCAUCCGUUCUGAGUUGGACCACUUUGGUUUCAUUUCUAAAGUAACCAAUUCUUCAAAAAUUUGUAAAUGGUUGCUGAAGCCAAUCUGCCUUAAUUUAUUUUGUAACACCAGCAAAGCUAUUAAAAAAAAUUCACCAAAAAUACAAAAUGUGCAAAGUUAAUUGGCACUCAAAACAAUUCUUGUGAUAAAUUGUGAAUUUGAGCGACUUCAAAAACAAGCAUUCCAAAAGGAUCUAAGAAGUUAAUGUGGCCUGACGUACGAACCUAACAAGUUCUUCUUCAGAGGCAAAGAGGUUGUGAGUUUUCACAAGUUAACAAAUUGCAAGAGGAUGCCCUGAAAUGCCAGCAUCCUAUUACUAAGAUAUUUUAGUUGCUAAACUCAAUCGAAUCUGCAAUUGUAAAAGAAAAAAGUUGAGACGAUAAUAGGACUGUUGUUUGUUAGUUGAUAAAUAAGGUGAAGAUCUUUCAGGACACAUGUUGGUCUUGCCGCAGACUGAAGACUAGCUAUGCUCCAUGCCUUAACCCUUUAGUGACCACACUUUUCUCAGUGUACAAUGCUGUAAACUUGCAAAGUGCAGUUCCUUAUCGAGGCACAUAUUGUGAAUUGCGAUGUGUAUCCAAUUCUAAAUUAAGUAGCUGAAUAAUAGAUUAAAAUGAAAUUAAAAUGCUGGUCCUCCAUUGCCUCUACAGGCAAUUCAGUUGUGGUCGCCUCUAGCGGCUUUGGUCACUAAAGGGUUAAACAGAAAAUAUGUCAAAGGUUUACAAAGUCAUUGUUCGGGUCAAUUUUCGAUUAAGUUUAGUUACGAAAAGGCUUGUAAGAACAUAUACAUCUAGGGCAGAUCUUUAAAUAGAAAAUGUCCAAUCUACAUCAGAAUUGGUUAAAAUACUCUUAGUAUUACUAUUUUUCAAAAGUUAAAUGCUGAUUAGUAGGAUAUAUAGACAAGUCUCCUAAAAGGUGACAUUUAGCAAACCUCUAAAAUUGGUAUUCCAGUUAGCAAACCCUUCAUGUAGGUCUAAAUUUGUAUUUUUUUUAAAUAGGCUAGAUUGUAGCAUGUGAAAUCUGUGUACAUUUUUUUCCCCAUUUAAUGAUUCAUCAGAUGCCAUGGUUAAAAUCCCUGAACCCUGCCUCUGAGAAAUUAUUGAGUAAUUUAACCCAGUAAACAGUGAUUAAAACUCGAUGAGAUAAUUAUAUAAAAUUUGAACGUAGUGUCAAAAUCUGUCAAUUUUUUUUUAGAAAAACCAAGCUAUACAAGUGACCGAGUCAUCCAAGUUAAAAAUGCUAAACACUACAUCGAAUUCUUUGCCAGAACCAUUGAUAGAAAUACCACUUUGCGGCAGUUUAAGUUUUAUCACUCACAGGAUUCAAAUCCUGCAGUGACUUAAAGAGUGAGUAAACUCCUACAUGAUCAAAGUCAGUCCCGACAUAAUGAAAUACGAGUUUGAGAACUUGAGUAAACUUUUCUCAGCUGAACAUUUGCAUCAAGGUAUAAACCAGUGGAAUAUUCAAUAAGAAUGUAGUUAGCUUAGUUCGAUAAAGACACCUGGCAUGGCGUUGUGAACGAGAUCUCGGUUGCGACCUGUAGAUGAUGAUGAUAGUUA